UACGGGGGGGGGCAAGCGGUUGUUCGGAAUUACUGGGCGUAAAGGGGCGCGUAGGCGGCUCGUUAAGUCGGGUGUGAAAACUCUGGGCUCAACCCAGAGCCUGCAUUCGAAACUGACGAGCUAGAGUUCUGGAGGGGAAAGCGGAAUUCCGUGGUGUAGCGGUGAAAUGCGUAGAUAUCAGGAGGAACACCAGUGGCGAAGGCGACUUUCUGGUCUGUAACUUGACA
rnacentral:rRNA from 1 species